CACAGGGGAACGCUGGGGCUGUCACUGCUGGGGUGUCACACACAGGGGAACGCUGGGGCUGCCCCGCUCCUGCCCUGUCCCCAACAGCUCUGCCAACACCUUGAGGGGACACAAAGGCUGAGCCAAAGGGUGAGAAUUGAAGAAGGGGCUGAGCCGGGAGAGACCCAUUGGCAUCAUCGAGUUACAGAAUGACAGAAUCACAGAAUUGUGGGGUUGGAAGAGACCUUCAAGAUCACUGAGUCCAACCCAGCCCUAACAGCACAUCAGCAGAACCACGGCCACUGAGUGCCGCAUCCAGUCUUUUUUAAGCAUAUCCAGGGAUGGUGACUCUACCACCUGCCCUGGCAAACCAGUCCAAUACUUUAUCACACUUUCUGAAAAAAACUUUUUAAGAAUAUUCAAUUUAUAUUUCCCUUGGUUCAGCUUAAAAAUGUGUCCUCUGGUUCUGUCAGUUGUUGCCUGGAGAAAGAGACCAACCCCCAUCCGACUUCAACCACCUUUCAGGAAAUUGUAGAUGUAGAGAGUGAUAAAGUCACCUCUGAGUCUCCUCCAGGAUAAACAACCCCAGCUCCCUCAGUCAUUCCUUACAGGAUUUGUGUUCAAGACCAGCCUUGUUGCCCUUCUCUGGACACAUUCCCACCCCUCCAUGUCCUGCCUAAACUGAGGGACCCAGAACUGGACACAGCACUCGAGGUACAGUGCCAGUCCAGGGGAAGAAUGCCAAGUACACCAGUGCCAAGUACAGGGGAAGAAUGACCUCCCUGCUCCUGCUGGCCACACCAUUCCUGAUCCAGGCCAGGAGCCAUUGGCCUUCUUGGCCACCAGGGCACACUGCUGGCUCAUGUUCAGCCGGAUGUCGAGCAGUGCCCCCAGGUCCCUUUCUGCCUGGGCACUGUCCAGCCACACCAUCCCCAGCCUCUGGCAUUGCAGGGGGUUAUUGUGGCCAAAAUGCAGGACUUGGCAUUUGGACUUAUUAAACUCCAUCUUACUGGACUCUGCCCAUCCAUCCAACCAUUAAGAUCUCCCUGCAGAGCCCUCGUACCCUCCAACAGAUGGACACACGCUCCCAGCUCAGUGUCAUCUGCAGAUUUACUAAUGAAAGGCUCAAUCCCCUCAUCCAUGUUAUCAGUAAAAAUACUGAACAGAGCUGGCCCAGCACAGAGCCCUGAGGGACAGCCCUGGUGCCUGGCUGCCAGCUGGAUGCAGCAGCGCUCACCAGCACUCUCUGGGCCGGCCAUGCAGCCAGUUCUGAACCCAGCACAGAGUGCUCCUGUCCCAGCCCUGGGCUGCAGCUUUUCCAGGAGUGUGCUGUGGGAGACAGUGCCAAAGGCCUUGCUGGAGUCCGAAUAGACACAUCCACAGCCUUUCCUGCAUCCACCAGGAGGGUCACCUGGUCAUAAAAGGAGACCAGGUACUGAGGUCAGGCUGACUGGUCUGUAAUUACCAGGAUCCUCCUUCCCACCCUUGUUGUGAAUGGGUGUCACAUUGGGCAGCUUCCAGUCAUCUGGAACCUCCCCAGCGAGCCAGGACUGCUGGUAAAUGAUGGAGAAUGUCUUGGCAAGCUCAUCUGCCAGCUCCCUCAUCACCCUGGGGUGGAUCCCAUCUGGGCCCAUAAAUUUAUGAACAUCCAAGCAUCUCAGCAGUUCUCUGACUGCCACCUCCUGGAUAACAGGGGCCCAUUCUGCUCCCUGACCACAGAGAACAGUUUUCCUGAGGACAAGCCAUUCUUCUCACUAAAAACAGAUGCAAAGAAUGCUUUAAGCAUCUCUGCCUUCUCCUCAUCUGCAGUUGUUGAGUUCUCUUAUGCAUCUAAUAAAGAAUAAAUGUUGGUCUUACA